UUGUAAAUAUCAUAUAAGAUGAAAAGAAGGUAAUACAUAGUUUUACCUACACAUAGAGUAAUCUUGGCAAAAAAGAAUAAAAACAAGAUUACAAUACUUAUAGAAAGUAAUAGAGAAAGCACAAACUAACGCAUCCAAAGAAGCAUUAGCUUCCUCCAUCUCUUCCUGUGACGUCGGCCCGAGAUGAUGUUUCGAAUCUCCCUAUCGAUGGUUCUGAAAGUGACCCAAGGAGGAAGAGCUUGGUUGUUGUGAAGAACGUUGUUCCUUUGUUUCCACACAUGGAAGACAUAAGAUUGGACCGCAACUUUUCUCAAAGUGGUACGUAAAAACUUGAACACGGAUAUACUUACUCCCUCUUUUCAUUUUAAGUAUAUUUUAUAAAACAAUGUUGUAUAUAUGUGACUCCACACGUUAGAGAAAAUUGGAGAGACUAAUAUUUGUUUUGGGAUGUUUG
rnacentral:lncRNA from 1 species